rnacentral:rRNA from 1 species
ACGCUGGCGGCGUGCUUAACACAUGCAAGUUGAACGGUAUGACAUGGAAGCUUGCUGAAGUGUCAUAUAGUAGCGGACGGGUGAGUAAUGCAUGAGAAGCUGCCAUUGGGAGGGGGACAACAGUUGGAAACGGCUGCUAAUACCCCGUAUGCCGGAAGGUGAAAGGGAGCGAUCCGCCCGAUGAGGUGCUCAUGUCCUAUCAGCUGGUUGGUGGGGUAACGGCCUACCAAGGCGACGACGGGUAGCCGGCCUGAGAGGGUGAACGGCCACACUGGAACUGAGAUACGGUCCAGACUCCUACGGGAGGCAGCAGCGGGGAAUAUUGGGCCAAUGGGGGCAACCCUGACCCAGCGACGCCGCGUGGGGGAAGACGGCCUUCGGGUUGUAAACCUCUUUUGUACGGGAAGAAGGAAGUGACGGUACUGUACGAAUAAGUCCCGGCUAACUACGUGCCAGCCGCAGC